rnacentral:tRNA from 1 species
GGGGUUGUGGCUCAGCGGUAGAGCGCUCCUCUCGCACUCGAGGGACCCUGGGUUCGAUCCUCAGCACCA